AAAAAAUAUUUCUAAAUUUUACAGAAAGUAACACCUUUUUUGACAUUUAUAUCAAUGAAAUUCAUCCAAUGUAUAACAUCGAUGAAAAAAAUACACAACACAAAUUUUGUGCUCGGCCACCGGCAAAAAUGACUGGACCGAGAUUGAUGACAAUAACACAACUGUUGGAACAAUGCAAUCUUUUGGAAUUAAAUUUAUCAAAUUUUCAUGCCAGACCCUUCUUCAAAAUGAACCUGAUAUUAAUCCAUCUGAAACUGGUCAGCCAAUCAAAGCUUUAGACAUUCUGAUGAAAAGCCACAGAUGCUUUGCCAAAAGAAAGUGUCCUGCCAGGGAACAGUGUAUAUAAUAUAUUUGUCUAUCUGUAGGUUUGGGAUGAUGUUUGGUUCAUGUUCCUAUAAAUGAAUCUGCCCCACAUCUUCUCAAUUUCUUUCUCUGACAAUCCCAAACUUUUGGUCCUGAAAUAGGGGAAUUGGGUUUAAAAAGCUAAUUUCCUAGGGGAAGUGCUGCUCAAUUUUUUUUUAGGUUUGGACUUAGUUUUUUU
rnacentral:lncRNA from 1 species